UACGUAGGGAGCAAGCGUUGUCCGGAAUCAUUGGGCGUAAAGCGCGCGUAGGCGGCCCCGUAAGUCCGCUGUGAAAGUCAAAGGCUCAACCUUUGAAAGCCGGUGGAUACUGUGGGGCUAGAGUCCGGAAGAGGCGAGUGGAAUUCCUGGUGUAGCGGUGGAAUGCGCAGAUAUCAGGAGGAACACCAAUAGCGAAGGCAGCUCGCUGGGACGGUACUGACGCUAAGGCGCGAAAAGCGUGGGGAGCGAACAGG
rnacentral:rRNA from 1 species